rnacentral:rRNA from 1 species
UCCUUGUUCUUUCCCGCCUAUAUACCACCGUCGUCAGCUUACCCUGUGAAGGCCCUAUAGUAAGCACAAUCGGCAAUGCCCAAUACGUCAGGUCGAGGUGUAGCGAAUGGAAGGGGAAGAAAUGGGCUACAUUUACUAAUAUAGUAAAUACGGAUGAUCACCCUGCAACGAGUAUCUGAAGGAGGAAGUGGCAGUAAGCAAAAAAUAGAGCGUUUUGCUGAAAUUGGCCCUGAAGCGUGCACACACCGCCCGUCACUCUCCCCGAACUAAGAUCUAAAACAUAACUAAUAUGCUAUAACUGUAAAGGGGAGGCAAGUCGUAACAUGGUAAGCGUACCGGAAGGUGCGCUUGGAAAAAC